AUAUGUAAAUGAGUAGAUGACACAAUCAACACAUCAAACUGCUUUGAUCAGGAAAAAGACAAUCAGGAGAGACAGAUUUCAAGCUGUCAAUCAUGAACAGACUGUCCCAGAGACAACAAUAAGUGGACUCUGUUUAUUGUUUGUUUCUGUGAAAAAACAAACAAACAAAC